rnacentral:rRNA from 1 species
UACGGAGGGUGCGAGCGUUGUCCGGAAUCACUGGGCGUAAAGGGCGCGUAGGCGGCCUGAUAAGUAGGGGGUGAAAUCCUGCGGCUUAACCGCAGGGCUGCCUUCUAAACUGUCAGGCUUGAGCACAGUAGGGGCAGGUGGAAUUCCCGGUGUAGCGGUGGAAUGCGUAGAGAUCGGGAAGAACAUCAGUGGCGAAGGCGGCCUGCUGGGCUGUUGCUGACGCUGAGGCGCGACAGCGUGGGGAGCAAACAGG